rnacentral:misc_RNA from 1 species
GAACGCACAUUGCGCCCCUUGGUAUUCUUCCAUGGGGCAUGCCUGUUCGAGCGUCAUUUGUACCCUCAAGCUCUGCUUGGUGUUGGGUGUUUGCCCACUCCCUGGUGUUUGGACUCGCCUUAAAGCAAUUGGCAGCCAGUGUUUUGGUAUUGAAGCGCAGCACAUUUUGCGAUUCUAGCCUGAAAUACUAGCAUCCAGCAAGUCAUUUUCACUUUUGACCUCGGAUCAGGUAGGGAUACCCGCUGAACUUAAG